ACUCAAAUGAAUUGACGGGGGCCCGCACAAGCGGUGGAGCAUGUGGUUUAAUUCGAUGCAACGCGAAGAACCUUACCUACUUUUGACAUCCUGUGAACCUGACGUAAUGGUUGGGGUGCCGCAAGGAGCACAGAGACAGGUGCUGCAUGGCUGUCGUCAGCUCGUGUUGUGAGAUGUUGGGUUAAGUCCCGUAACGAGCGCAACCCUUGUCCUUAGUUACCAUCAAGUAAAGUUGGGGACUCUAAGGAGACUGCUGGUGAAGAACCGGAGGAAGGCGGGGACGACGUCAAGUCAUCAUGGCCUUUAUAAGUAGGGCUACACACGUGCUACAAUGGUUCGUACAAAGGGUAGCCAACCCGCGAGGGGGAGCCAAUCUCAAAAAGCGAAUCGUAGUCCGGAUUGAAGUCUGCAAUUCGACUUCAUGAAGUCGGAAUCGCUAGUAAUCGCGAAUCAGCCAUGUCGCGGUGAAUACGUUCCCGGGCCUUGCACACACCGCCCGU
rnacentral:rRNA from 1 species